rnacentral:rRNA from 1 species
UACGUAGGGUGCGAGCGUUGUCCGGAAUUAUUGGGCGUAAAGAGCUUGUAGGCGGUUUGUCGCGUCUGCCGUGAAAAUUCGAGGCUCAACCUCGAACUUGCGGUGGGUACGGGCAGACUAGAGUGAUGUAGGGGAGACUGGAAUUCCUGGUGUAGCGGUGAAAUGCGCAGAUAUCAGGAGGAACACCGGUGGCGAAGGCGGGUCUCUGGGCAAUAACUGACGCUGAGGAGCGAAAGCGUGGGGAGCGAACAGG